GGCAAUGCCAAAUUCAGACCCUGGCUCAGACCACAAGCCUCAGGAUGCUGUGACGCACUGCUCGGGCCGGCUGGAUGCAGAGCUGUGGACAGGAGCAAAGCAAAAUCCAGGUGGUGAGAAGAAAGAGUUUGAUGAGCCUCAGGAACAAAGAUCUCCAUUUACAUGCACUUCAUAAACUCUCACCUGCUUUACCAAUGCAUCCUACCCCUGCCAAGAGAAAGUCUUCUCUGGGAGAAAGGAAAGAACUACUGUGA
rnacentral:lncRNA from 1 species